AGGCCACGUUGCGCACUGGACGCGCUCGGACUCAAGACUGAUUAACCAGCACCGGGGUUUUCUGGGGCCUCGCCUGGGCCGCGGCCUGAGCAGAAGCGCUAGGAGGUAGAACAGCGUCCAGCGGGGAGAGGAGCUAGAGUCGGCAUCGGGAAGCCCACCCUGGAGCCUGCUUAGCUUGACGAGCCCUCAACCGGGGCGCCCUGCUCUGCGAAGAGUAACCCUGCAUCCUCAGAACAACCGUGAUUGUCUUCAUUCCUACAUAUGAGGAACGGAGGCGCGGAGCCCCACGGCAGCCGGGGAUCCAAAGACAGCCUCCCUCCAGUUCCAUCUGCCGGCUCUUGGAAGGCCUGGAUCCCUGUCCUUCAGGGCCCAGCCCAAAUGCCGCCUCGUCCAUCUGCAUUUUACGGCCAGGUGCCCCGCUGCGGGCACGGCUUCUUGUAAAAUGCUCAGCUCAGCAGUGGGCGAGGCAGGGUCCCUGCCCCAUGGGAUGGAGGGCGGAGAUCAGGACCCACAAGAGCCCAAAGAAGACCAUUUUGGUCGGUGAAGACCAAAGAAAUUCAAGCAGGAGGAUGUGACAGGAGCUUUUGGGAAAGCCUCUGAGGAGGUGACAGCCAUGCAACCGUGUUCGGGGAAGUGUGCCGCAGGCAGAGGGGAAAUGAGUGCAAAAGCCCUGAAGCUGGAGUUCGGUGUCUGGAUAACAGGAAAGGCCUGCAUAGCUGAUGUGUGCCAGAGGGGAGAAAGAUCUGUGACACAGGGGGGCCGCCAUGUUUAAUUUGGAGUUUUGUGUGGAAGGGGGUCAUUCAUUGAGUCUGAAUUGGGA
ensembl:lncRNA novel transcript